AACGAACGCUGGCGGCAUGCCUAACACAUGCAAGUCGAACGAGACCUUCGGGUCUAGUGGCGCACGGGUGCGUAACGCGUGGGAACCUGCCCUUAGGUUCGGAAUAACUCCCCGAAAGGGGUGCUAAUACCGGAUAAUGUCUUCGGACCAAAGAUUUAUCGCCUUUGGAUGGGCCCGCGUUGGAUUAGCUAGUUGGUAGGGUAAAAGCCUACCAAGGCGACGAUCCAUAGCUGGUCUGAGAGGAUGAUCAGCCACACUGGGACUGAGACACGGCCCAGACUCGGACGAGGGGCAGAAGUGGGAAAAAGUGAACAAGGGGGGAGAACGAGGUCCAGCAAUGCGGAGAGAGUUAUGAAGGGGAAAGGGUUGUAAAGCUCUUUUACCGGGGAUGAAAAUAAGAGCAGGAAGAAAAAAAGCCGGGGAAAUACCCG
rnacentral:rRNA from 1 species